AUUGAACGCUGGCGGCAUGCUUUACACAUGCAAGUCGAACGGCAGCGCGGGCUUCGGCCUGGCGGCGAGUGGCGAACGGGUGAGUAAUGCAUCGGAACGUGCCCAGUAGUGGGGGAUAGCCCGGCGAAAGCCGGAUUAAUACCGCAUACGACCUGAGGGGGAAAGCGGGGGACCGAAAGGCCUCGCGCUGUUGGAGCGGCCGAUGUCGGAUUAGCUAGUUGGUGGGGUAAAGGCUUACCAAGGCGACGAUCCGUAGCUGGUCUGAGAGGACGACCAGCCACACUGGGACUGAGACACGGCCCAGACUCCUACGGGAGGCAGCAGUGGGGAAUUUUGGACAAUGGGGGCAACCCUGAUCCAGCCAUGCCGCGUGCGGGAAGAAGGCCUUCGGGUUGUAAACCGCUUUUGUUCGGGAAGAAAUCCUCUGGGCUAAUACCCCGGGGGGAUGACGGUACCGGAAGAAUAAGCACCGGCUAACUACGUG
rnacentral:rRNA from 1 species